UUUUUUUUUUAUUUUUUGCUUUUUAGGGAUGCACCCCUGGCAUGUGGAAGUUCCCAGGCUAGGGGUUGAAUUGGAGCUGAAGCUGCUGUUCCAUGCCACAGCCAUAUAGCAAUGCGGGUUCUGAGCGGAAUCUCUAUACCACAGCUCAUGGCGACACUGGAUUCCUAACCUACUGAGUGGGGCUAGGUAUCAAACCCAUAUCCUCAUGAAUACUAGUUGGGUCCAUUACCACUGAACCACAAAAGCAACUCCAGGUUUCAUCAUUUUUAUCACUGAAUAAUAUUGUAUAUUUAUACUUUAAUUUCUUUAUCUUUUCACCCAUCAAUGGACACUUAGGUUAUUUCCAUGUUUUGGUUAUUAUAAAUAAAGCUGGUAGGAAUGUGGGGUGCAGAUAUCUUUUCAAAUUAGUGUUUUUGUUUCCUUUGGAUAUAGUCCCAGGAGUGAAAUUGCUGGAUUAUUUGGUAGUCUAUUUUUAAUUUUUUAAUUAUUAUGAUUAAAUAAAUUUUUUUUUUGUCUUUUGUUUUUUUAGGGCAGCACCUGUGGCAUAUGGAGAUUCCCAGGCCAGAGGUCUAAUCAGAGCUGUUGUAGCUGGCCUACGCCAGAGCCACAGCAACACUGGAUCUGAGCUGCAUCUGCAACCUACACCACAGCUCACAGCAAUGCCAGAUCCUUAACCCACAGAGCGAGGCCAUGGAUCGAAUCUGCAACCUUCUGGUUCCUAGUCAGAUUCAUUUCCGCUGUGCCACGAUGGGAACUCCUAUUUUUAAUUUUUUUAAAGGAAUUUCCAAACUGUUUUCCAUAAUGGCUGCACCAGUUUACAUUCCCACCAAGUGCACAGGGUUCCCUUUCCUCCACAUCCACACCAGCAUUUAUUAUCUCUUGUCUUUUUGAUGAUAGCCAUUCUAACAGCCAUGAGACGAUAUCUCAUUGUGGUUUUAAUUUGCAUUUCCCUAAUGACUAGUGAUGUUAAGCAUCUUUUCAUGUAUCUGCUGGCCUUUUGUAUAUCUUCUUUGGAAAAAUGUCUACCUAGUUCCUUUGCCCAUUUUUCAGUUGGGUUAUUUGUGUGUGUGGAAAUGUUUGAGUUAUUUAUAUAUUUUGGAUAUUAACCUCUUAUUAGAUAUAGUUUGUAAUAUUUUUACCAUUCUAUAGGUUGUCUUUUCACUUUGUUAAUGGUUUCUUUUGCUGUAUAGAAAUUUUUUAGUUUGAUGUAAUCCCACUUGUUUUUUAUUUAAUUGGUUACACUGUAGGUAUCAUAUCCAAAAAAUCAUUUCCAAGGUCCAUUUUUAGUAUUUAAUUCCUGUUCUUUUAGUAAUUUCAUUGUUUCAGAUGUUAUAAAUCUGAGUUUUUAUUUCAUUUCAUAUUAAUUUUUGUGAGUGGUUUAAGAUGAAGGUCCAGUUUCAUUCUUUUACAUGUAAAUAUCCAGUUAUCUCCAGUCCAUUUACUGAAGAGACCGUCUUGUCUCCAUUGAGUAUUCUUGGUUCCUUGUCAAGUAUUAGUUGACCAUGUAUGCUUGAGUUAAUUUCUGGGCUCUUGAUUCUCUUUCAUUGGACUAUUUUUUCUGUCCUUAUGCUAGUACCACACUGUUUGUAUUACCAUAGCUUUAUAGUAUAUCUUGAAAACAAAGAGUAUGAUAAAGCCUCAUGCUUUUUUCUUUUUUGUUAGGAUUGCUUUAACUAUCCAGUCUUUCCUGAUUUCACAUGAAUUUUAGAAGUGUUUUUUCUAUCUCUGUGAAAAAUGCCAUUGGACUCUUGAUAGAUACUGCAUUGAAUCUUUAGAUGGCUUUUGUAGUAUUGACAUUUUAACAAUUUUACUUCUUCUAAUCCUUGAACACAAGAUACUUUCCAUUUCUUUGAUUCCUUUUAUUAGUGUCUUACAGUUUUCAGAGUAUAGAUUUUUCACCUCCUUUGUUAAAUGUAUUCUUAGGUAUUUUAUUGUCUCUGAAUGCUGUUGUAAAUGAAAUAACAUUUCUUUUUUUUUGAAAAUUCAUUGUUAGUGAAUAUAAAUGCUACUGAUUUUUGUAUGUUAAUUUUGUAUCCUACAAUUUUACUGAAGUAACUGAAUAGGUUUAACAGUGUUUUGGUUGAGUCUUUAGGACUUUCUGUAUAAAUAAUCAUGUCGUCUUCAAAUAGAGACCAUUUUACUUCUUCCUUUCCAAUUCUGAUAUUUUUGUUACCUUUUCUUGCCUAACUGCACUAGCUAUGACUUCUAGUACUAUGUUGAACAGGAGUGAUAAAAGUGGAUACCCUUGUAUCCACUAUCCUUGUAUUCCUCUAAGAUCAGGAUACCCUUCCUGAUCUUAGAGGAAAAUCUUUCAAACUUUCACCAUUGAGUAUGAUGUUAACUGCUUCUCUUACCUUUCUAAUAUAAUACAUUGGUUGCUUUGGUGCAAGGGGGUGGUUCAGCUCACCCCUCUGUUCUAAGAUUCUCUCAGUGGUGUCUUGUUCUUGAAGAGUUGUUAGUUGUUCUUCUUGUAAGGGUGGGCAAAGACAGGAAUGACCUAUGUCACUAUCUUUGUGAUGUCACUCCCAACAUGAUGUCUUGGAUGAGAGAGACCUGUCUUUUUUCCCCCUCUCCCUCUCUAAAGAGAGUAACUAAGUCACAGACCUUGGUAUUCCCUUGCCUGGGGGAAAGUUUAGAAGUCUUUGUUUUGGGUGUUCUAGUGUUCUG
rnacentral:lncRNA from 1 species